UUGAACGCUGGCGGCAGGCCUAACACCUGCAAGUCGAACGGUAACAGGAAGAAGCUUGCUUCUUUGCUGACGAGUGGCGGACGGGUGAGUAAUGUCUGGGAAACUGCCUGAUGGAGGGGGAUAACUACUGGAAACGGUAGCUAAUACCGCAUAAUGUCGCAAGACCAAAGAGGGGGACCUUCGGGCCUCUUGCCAUCGGAUGUGCCCAGAUGGGAUUAGCUAGUAGGUGGGGUAACGGCUCACCUAGGCGACGAUCCCUAGCUGGUCUGAGAGGAUGACCAGCCACACUGGAACUGAGACACGGUCCAGACUCCUACGGGAGGCAGCAGUGGGGAAUAUUGCACAAUGGGCGCAAGCCUGAUGCAGCUAUGCCGCGUGUAUGAAGAAGGCCUUCGGGUUGUAAAGUACUUUCAGCGGGGAGGAAGGGAGUAAAGUUAAUACCUUGGCUCAUUGACGUUACCCGCAGAAGAAGCACCGGCUAACUCCGUG
rnacentral:rRNA from 1 species